AUACGGAGGGUGCAAGCGUUACUCGGAAUCACUGGGCGUAAAGCGCGCGCAGGCGGCUUGAUAAGUUGGAUGUGAAAGCCUACGGCUCAACCGUAGAACUGCAUCCAAAACUGUCAGGCUAGAGUGUGGGAGGGGAAGAUGGAAUUAGUUGUGUAGGGGUAAAAUCCGUAGAGAUAACUAGGAAUACCAAAAGCGAAGGCAAUCUUCUGGAACACUACUGACGCUGAGGCGCGAAGGCGUGGGGAGCAAACAGGAUUAGAAACCCUAGUAGUCC
rnacentral:rRNA from 1 species